rnacentral:rRNA from 1 species
AACGAACGCUGGCGGCAGGCCUAACACAUGCAAGUCGAGCGCCCUUUCGGGGGAGCGGCGGACGGGUGAGUAACGCGUGGGAAUAUGCCCUUCUCUACGGAAUAGCCUCGGGAAACUGAGAGUAAUACCGUAUACGCCCUGUGGGGGAAAGAUUUAUCGGGGAAGGAUUAGCCCGCGUUGGAUUAGGUAGUUGGUGGGGUAAUGGCCUACCAAGCCGACGAUCCAUAGCUGGUUUGAGAGGAUGAUCAGCCACACUGGGACUGAGACACGGCCCAGACUCCAGCGGGAGGAGGCAGUGGGGAAUCUAGGCCAUGGGGGGCAACCCUGAUCUGCCCAGGCCGGGUGAUUGAUGAAGGCCUUGGGUUGGUAAAGCUCUUUCGGCUGGGAGGAUAAGAACGUAACCGGCAGAGAAAGCCCGGCUAACUCCGUG